rnacentral:rRNA from 1 species
UACGUAGGGGGCAAGCGUUGUCCGGAUUUAUUGGGCGUAAAGAGCGUGUAGGCGGCCAUACAGGUCAGCUGUGAAAACUCGAGGCUCAACCUCGAGACGUCGGUUGAAACCGUAUGGCUAGAGUCCGGAAGAGGAGAGUGGAAUCCCCGGUGUAGCGGUGAAAUGCGCAGAUAUCGGGAAGAACACCUAUGGCGAAGGCAGCUCUCUGGGACGGUACUGACGCUGAGACGCGAAAGCGUGGGAGCGAAGCAGG